rnacentral:rRNA from 1 species
GAUCAUGGCUCAGGAUGAACGCUAGCUACAGGCUUAACACAUGCAAGUCGAGGGGAAACGAUAUUGGAAGCUUGCUUCCGAUAGGCGUCGACCGGCGCACGGGUGAGUAACGCGUAUCCAACCUGCCCACCACUUGGGAAUAACCUUGCGAAAGUAAGACUAAUGCCCAAUGAUAUCCCACGAAGGCAUCCGAAUGGGAUUAAAGAUUUAUCGGUGAUAGAUGGGGAUGCGU